UAUUUGAUCUACUUCCAAAAG
rnacentral:piRNA from 1 species